CUUUUUAACAGUUAUUGCAGUAGCAGCCUAACUGGUCUUCCUGUCCUCAGACCUCCACCUUCAGUCCACCCAUCACCCUGUUGAAAGAUUAUUCUUAUAUCACAAGGCUCAUUAUGACGCUCUAUUCAGAAGCCAACAAUUGCUCUCAGCUGCCUACAGAAUAAAAUUCAAAUUACCUUUUUUCUAUAAGAAUCUGAGGUGGGCCUUUUCAGUCUUUCACCAGAGUAUCUUUCACUGCAUACUAUAGUUCUUCAAUUCUAAGGUGCCAUUGAUUAUGACAGAUCAUUGAUUUAGUAACAGUUUUUGAGUCAGGGACCAAGGGGAAGGGUGGAACCUACUCAUCAUGGAUAAGAUACAUCAUUGAUUUCACAAUUAUUAAAAUCUUCAAGUUAGCUGAACCCAGUUGGAAGCCAGAGGAAAAGUGAAGAAACUGGGUCUCAAAUCAGUGUUCCUAAGAACCAAAUAAAUACUAGUCGAAGUGAAAGUGAAGUUUCAGCCAGGAAGGUCAACAGACGUCUUCAAGAGUGCUUUGAAAACAAGUGGGAAGAAAAUUACCUCCUUGUGGAAAACCUACGGGGCCCUGUCACCUGGAAUAGGUCUAUGAUUUUGGUUUUCACUCAGGCCUCAUUUCCCUUAUAAGAAGAAUGAAAUAAGCUAAUGCAUAAAAGUGGCUUAGCAGACGGCCUGCCACAUGGUCAACUUAAAUAAAAAUGAUUAUUUGCUCUAGGGGGAUUUGGUGAGAUAAUUGUCAAUAAUUGAGAAAUAAGGGAAAUAAGAUUUUUUUCUGAUACUUAACCUUGAAAUUAAAUUCAAAUAAAUGGUGGAACAUUCAUACAAUAUAAUAAUACAUACCUGUUAAAAUGAUAACAUACAUUUGUAGUUAUUGAUAUGGAAAAAGGUCUAUAGAAUAUUGUUGCAUAAAAAAGUAGGUUAUAAAAAUCAUGUAUAAUGUGACUUUUCUUUUUCUUUUUAAAUUCACG
rnacentral:lncRNA from 1 species